AGUGAACGCUGGCGGUAGGCCUAACACAUGCAAGUCGAACGGCAGCACAGUAAGCGCUUGCUCUUACGGGUGGCGAGUGGCGGACGGGUGAGGAAUACAUCGGAAUCUACUUUUUCGUGGGGGAUAACGUAGGGAAACUUACGCUAAUACCGCAUACGACCUACGGGUGGAAGCAGGGGAUCUUCGGACCUUGCGCGAUUGAAUGAGCCGAUGUCGGAUUAGCUAGUUGGCGGGGUAAAGGCCCACCAAGGCGACGAUCCGUAGCUGGUCUGAGAGGAUGAUCAGCCACACUGGAACUGAGACACGGUCCAGACUCCUACGGGAGGCGGCAGUGGGGAAUAUUGGACGAUGGGCGCAAUCCUGAUCCAGCCAUACCGCGUGGGUGAAGAAGGCCUUCCGGUUGUAAAGCCCUUUUGUUGGGAAAGAAAAGCAGCAGGUUAAUACCCCGCUGUUCUGACGGUACCCAAAGAAUAAGCACCGGCUAACUUCGUG
rnacentral:rRNA from 1 species